AUGCGUGUUUCCGGCCUAACUCGAACUACCGCAUCAGCAAGGCCGCGUGGAUUGAGAACAUACACCAUUCCCGGUCCUACGACGACAGCGGCCACCUUCGCUUCUUGUCCCGUAUUUCUGAACGGUCUGGCCUUGGUGAUGAGACCUACCUCCCGCCUUACCAUCAUCAUAUCCGGCCGUAUUAUUGUUUAA
rnacentral:rRNA from 1 species